rnacentral:rRNA from 1 species
GAUACGCGAGGAACCUUACCUGGGCUCGAACGUAAGAUGACUGUAGGUGAAAGCUUACAUCUCUUCGGAGCAUUUUUACGAGGUGCUGCAUGGUUGUCGUCAGCUCGUGCCGUGAGGUGUCGGGUUAAGUCCCAUAACGAGCGCAACCCCUACCUUUAGUUGCCAUCAGGUUAAGCUGGGGACUCUAAAGGAACUGCCUACGCAAGUAGUGAGGAAGGCGGGGAUGACGUCAAAUCAGCACGGCCCUUACGUCCAGGGCUACACACGUGCUACAAUGGCCGAUACAGAGGGCAGCUACCUGGUGACAGGAUGCAAAUCUCCAAAGUCGGUCUCAGUUCGGAUCGGAGUCUGCAACCCGACUCCGUGAAGUUGGAUUCGCUAGUAAUCGCGCAUCAGCCAUGGCGCGGUGAAUACGUUCCCGGGCCUU